UUGGUUUUUCCAGGAGUCAUGUAUGGAUGUGAGAGUUGGACCAUAAAGAAGGCUGAGCGUCAAAGAAUUGAUACUCUUGAACUGUGGUGCUGGAGAAGACUCUGUAGAGUCCCUUGGAUUACAAGAAGACCAGACCAUUCAAUCCUAAAGGAAAUCAACCCUGAAUAUUCAUCAGAAGGACUGAUGCUGAAGCUGAAGGACCAAUACUUUGGCCACCUGAUGCAAAGAGUCAACUCAUUGGAAAAGACCCUGAUGCUGGGAAAGAUUGAGAGCAGGAGGACAAGGGAAUGGCAGAGGAUGAGAUGGUUAGAUAGCAUCACUGACUCAAUGGACAUCAAUUUGAGCAAAUUUCAGGAGAGAGUGAAGAACAGAGAAGCCUGGUGUGCUGCAAUCCAUAUCCUCCAACAAAAAAGAGAAGAAGAAAUAAAUACCAAAUGUGAAAAAAAAAAUCGGACACAAUCGAACAACAGCAAACAUUUGCCAGAGAGCCAUGGAAGGUUGUAGUCCUCUUGCUGCUGUUUCUGAUCCUUUCAGCCUGGCAGAUGACUGGACUGGUCUUUGUAUGCCUGGCUGGCCUGACCUUUACGACCAGAAGAAUUAUAUUCCAAUUAAAAAGUAAAUAAAGAAAAGUAAAUAAAAUACCUGGAGGGCAAUAUAGAUGGCAAUAUCCAGAACUGAAUACCAGCCCCACCCAUCAGGUUUUCUCUGCUUACCAGCCUUCUCAGUUCACUGCCUUGAAAUCAAGAAUCUCCUACGCUUCAAGCCCAGGUUCUUACCUGGGAAUUUUCUGUGGAAAGCCUGCAGCAAACCAGACUGCCUUCUCUGGAUGCACUUUGAAAACUAAGUGCUACGAUGGUUUGGAUGAUUGUAAUAAUAUCUGUUUACUUCAGAUACCUGUAGAGAAUGAUAAGGGUGGGAAAUACAAGUAGAGUGGGGAAAGUAAAAUAAAAAAUGUGAUGAUGGCACCGUGGAUGACCGUCCUUGCAUGACACUGGAAAGAAAGUGUGGGGGAUGGGCCAGAGCCGCACUUUCACUUCUCUCUAGGGCUCCUUCAAGAGCUUUCCAGACCUUAGUGACCAACAUCUCAGAUCUUGAUAACAAAGGAAAACCACCUGAUUCUUGUACUGUAGGAGGAUUCUGCCAGUGCUCUGCCUUGAAGGAAUGAAAGUUGAAGCUGUUACAAUGAGACAAAGGACACAACAGAUGAUAUAAACUAUGAGGUGUCACGGAUUUCAGUUUGUUUGACAGAGACCAAUAGAAACUCUGUACUGCAAGGAUGAUGUUUUACAUGUUGCAGUGGCUGUAAAAUGCAGUUUUACCGAAACGUUGUAUUUCAUGGAAAAGGAUUUUAUAAAGCUUCCAUUUUAAAAUAUAAAUUUAAAUUUUUGUUGUUGUUUAGUCUCUAAGCU
rnacentral:lncRNA from 1 species